CCAUACGACCGUACCGCAAACCGACACUGGUGCGCGAGAUGAGUAUUCUAAGGCGCUUGAGAGAACUCAGGAGAAGGAACUCGGCAAAUUGACACCGUAACUUCGGAAGAAGGUGUGCCCUAUUAGUGUGUAGUGAACAACGAAGCAUGAAUGGGUUGCAAAAAAUCGGUGGCUGCGACUGUUUAUUAAAAACACAGCACUCUGCAAACACGAAAGUGGACGUAUAGGGUGUGACGCCUGCCCGGUGCUGGAAGAUUAAAUGAUGGGGUGCAAGCUCUUGAUUGAAGUCCCAGUAAACGGCGGCCGUAACAAUAACGGUCCUAAGGUAGCGAAAUUCCUUGUCGGGUAAGUUCCGACCUGCACGAAUGGCGUAACGAUGGCCACACUGUCUCCUCCUGAGACUCAGCGAAGUUGAAAUGUUUGUGAUGAUGCAAUCUCCCCGCGGAAAGACGGAAAGACCCCAUGAACCUUUACUGUAGCUUUGUAUUGGACUUUGAACAGAUCUGUGUAGGAUAGGUGGGAGGCUUUGAAGCAGGGUCGCUAGAUCUUGUGGAGCCAACGUUGAAAUACCACCCUGGUGUGUUUGAGGUUCUAACCUAGGUCCAUUAUCUGGAUCGGGGACAGUGCAUGGUAGGCAGUUUGACUGGGGCGGUCUCCUCCCAAAGCGUAACGGAGGAGUUCGAAGGUACGCUAGUUACGGUCGGACAUCGUGACGAUAGUGCAAUGGCAUAAGCGUGCUUAACUGCGAGACUGACAAGUCGAGCAGAUGCGAAAGCAGGACAUAGUGAUCCGGUGGUUCUGUAUGGAAGGGCCAUCGCUCAACGGAUAAAAGGUACUCUGGGGAUAACAGGCUGAUACCGCCCAAGAGUUCAUAUCGACGGCGGUGUUUGGCACCUCGAUGUCGGCUCAUCUCAUCCUGGGGCUGUAGCCGGUCCCAAGGGUAUGGCUGUUCGCCAUUUAAAGAGGUACGUGAGCUGGGUUUAAAACGUCGUGAGACAGUUUGGUCCCUAUCUUCCGUGGGCGCUGCAGAUUUGAGGAAGCCUGCUCCUAGUACGAGAGGACCGGAGUGGACACACCUCUGGUGUAUCGGUUGUCACGCCAGUGGCAUUGCCGAGUAGCUAAGUGUGGAAGAGAUAACCGCUGAAAGCAUCUAAGCGGGAAACUCGUUUCAAGAUGAGAUCUGCCGGGGCCUUGAGCCCCCUAAAGAGUCGUUCAAGACCAGGACGUUGAUAGGUCAGGUGUGGAAGCGAAAAAAAAAACAAAAGAAG
rnacentral:rRNA from 1 species